AUUGAACGCUGGCGGCAGGCUUAACACAUGCAAGUCGAACGAGUGGCGGACGGGUGAGUAAUGCAUGGGAAUCUAGCUUAUGGAGGGGGAUAACUACGGGAAAAUGUAGCUAAUACCGCGUACCAUCGGAUGAGGCCAAGGGGGGUUAGGUAGUUGGGGGGGGAAAGGCUAACCAAGCCGACGAUCUCUAGAUGGUCGGAGAGGAUGACCAGCCACACUGGGACUGAGACGAGGCCCAGACUCCUACGGUAGGAAGCAGUGGGGAAUAGUGCGUAGUGGGAGCAACCGGACGUGGCCAUGCCGAGUAAAUGAAGGAGGCCUUCGGGUUGGAAAUUUCUUUCGGUAGCGAGGCGUUAACGACAGAAGAAGCACCGGCUAACUCCGUGCCAGCAGCCGCGGUAAUUC
rnacentral:rRNA from 1 species